GGACCCUCACGACCAAACCAACCAUUGACCCUUUCCAAUCUACACGUACAUACCCACAAACUAAGUCUUAUGCUAUACAAACCUGUUCACCUCUUUCACGUACAAUGCCAUUCACAAACUAACCUCAAUCUCAAAAAACCUGCAGCUUUUUGAUCAACACCAAUUCACGAAACAAUUUUUUCUAAUAGCAAAUUACAAGAGGAGAAAAUAGAAGAAGGAGACUGGAAACACACAAACAACAACACCGACGCGCUCCGACGGCAACAACAACAGUACCGUCCAAUCCACUACCGACUGGUCUCAUUUCCGAUCGCCACAGGACGAAUCCGACGGAUCCAUCUUCAGAAGCUCCAGCCGCCGCGCAAUACACCGGAACUGACGCAACCUCUCAAUCCCAACAGCGACACUCGUCGUCCGCUCCCCCCACUGGCAGCAUCAUACCACCACCGGUAAUCUUCUUCUCUAAAUCUGAACCGUUGCCGUGGGUUUACCGCGUCUCUACGACCUGUUAUAUGCAUCCGCCGUUGAAGCUUUGAGGUAACCUUUUGUUUUCAUGUUUAGAGUGAGAGAAGAGAUAUGAGUUUGUGGUUACAAGGGUAAAAUUCAUGUCCAUAAAACUAUAGCAUUUUAGUGGUG